CGGACGGGUGAGUAACACUUAGGAAUCUGCCCAGUAGUGGGGGACAACUCGGGGAAACUCGAGCUAAUACCGCAUACGCACUACGGUGGAAAGUGGGGGAUCUUCGGACCUCACGCUAUUGGAUGAGCCUAAGUCGGAUUAGCUAGUUGGUGAGGUAAAGGCUCACCAAGGCGACGAUCCGUAGCUGGUCUGAGAGGACGAUCAGCCACACUGGGACUGAGACACGGCCCAG
rnacentral:rRNA from 1 species